CCCAGCAAUGGGAUGCGAAUCUCGAAAGACCUGUCUCAGUUCGGAUUGGAGGCUGAAACCCGCCUCCAUGAAGUUGGAUUCGCUAGUAAUCGCGCAUCAGCCAUGGCGCGGUGAAUACGUUCCCGGGUCUUGUACACACCGCCCGUCACACCAUGGGAGUCAGUAACGCCCGAAGUCAGUGACCUAACCGAAAGGGAGGAGCUGCCGAAGGCGGGACGGAUGACUGGGGUGAAGUCGUAACAAGGUAAC
rnacentral:rRNA from 1 species